rnacentral:tRNA from 1 species
AGCAUGGUAGCACAGUGAGUAGUGCUGCUCUUUCACAGCACCUGUGUGGUACAAGAUGAUGUGGGUUCAAUCCCCACUCAGUCUG